UACGAGUGCCUCGAGCGUUAUCCGGAAUUAUUGGGCGUAAAGGGUGUGUAGGUGGUUCUGUUAGUCUUCUGUCAAAUUCUUCGGCUUAACCGGGGGUCCGCAGGGGAAACGGCAGAACUUGAGGAUGCGAGAGGUGAAUGGAACUCAUAGUGUAGGGGUGAAAUCCGUUGAUAUUAUGGGGAACACCAAAAGCGAAGGCAAUUCACUGGCGCACUCCUGACACUGAAACACGAAAGCGUGGGUAGCGAAUGGG
rnacentral:rRNA from 1 species